rnacentral:rRNA from 1 species
UUGCAGGCUGCAACCCGCCUGCAUGAAGUUGGAAUCGCUAGUAAUCGCGGAUCAGCAUGCCGCGGUGAAUACGUUCCCGGGCCUUGUACACGCCGCCCGUCACACCAUGAGAGUCGGGAACACCCGAAGUCCGUAGCCUGACCGCAAGGGGGGCGCGGCCGAAGGUGGGUUCGAUAAUCGGGGUGAAGUCGUAACAAGGUACC